UACGUAGGUGGCGAGCGUUGUUCGGAAUUAUUGGGCGUAAAGGGUCCGCAGGAGGUUCGUUAAAAUUGGGGUGAAAUCCCGGAGCUCAACUCCGGAACUGCCCUGAUGACUGACGGACUAGAGUGCUGGAGGGGUAAGCGGAAUUUCAGGUGUAGCGGUGGAAUGCGUAGAUAUCUGAAAGAACACCGAUGGCGAAGGCAGCUUACUGGACAGCAACUGACUCUCAGGGACGAAAGCGUGGGGAGCAAACAGGAUUAGAUACCCUGGUAGUCCACGCCGUAAACGUUGUCAACUUGAUGUGGGGGGAUUUAGUCCUCUCCGUAUCGAAGCUAACGCGAUAAGUUGACCGCCUGGGGACUACGGCCGCAAGGCUAAA
rnacentral:rRNA from 1 species